rnacentral:rRNA from 1 species
UGGCUCAGGACGAACGCUGGCGGCGUGCCUAACACAUGCAAGUCGAGCGGGGACAUACGACGGAGUCAAAGUUUCGGAUGGAGACGAAGAUGUAUGUUCUAGCGGCGGACGGGUGAGUAACGCGUGAGCAACCUGUCCCUUACAGGGGGAUAACACAGCGAAAGUUGUACUAAUACCGCAUGAGACCACGGGAGGACAUCCUCCAGGGGUCAAAGGAGCAAUCCGGUAAGGGGUGGGCUCGCGUCCGAUUAGAUAGUUGGUGAGGUAACGGCCCACCAAGUCGACGAUCGGUAGCCGACCUGAGAGGGUGAUCGGCCACAUUGGGACUGAGACACGGCCCAAACUCCUACGGGAGGCAGCAGUGGGGAAUAUUGGGCAAAUGGGGGAAACCCUGACCCAGCAACGCCGCGUGAGGGAAGAAGGUUUUCGGAUCGUAAACCUCUGUCCUUGGUGAAGAGUAAGAGACGGUAGCCAAGGAGGAAGCCCCGGCUAACUACGUGCCAGCCGCGGC